CAAAAAACAAAGACAGACAGGAGGUGGAGAGGGACAAACAGGACAGAGAACACUGCCGGAGACACAGACUGAUGUGCAGUGCUCAGCCAUAACAUUAGAACCAAUGGAUGAUGUGAUAAACACACAAAACGUUUCUGAAGUGCUGUACUCAGCUAUAAACCCCAAAACGAAAUGCAAAAAAGCCCCAAAACAG